rnacentral:rRNA from 1 species
AUUUUAUUUGCGCAGAAUAGGUGGGAGACUUUGAAGCUAGCGUUGUGGCGUUGGUGGAGUCAUCUUUGAGAUACCACUCUGAUAAAAUUGACAUCCUAACUUUACACCGUAAGCCGGUUAAAGAACAGUUUCAGGUGGGCAGUUUGACUGGGGCGGUCGCCUCCUAAAAGGUAACGGAGGCGUACAAAGGUUUCCUCAGAUCGGUCAGAAAUCGAUCUUAGAGUGUAAUAGCAAAAGGAAGCUUGACUGUGAGACCUACAAGUCGAGCAGGGACGAAAGUCGGUUAUAGUGAUCUGACGAUUCUGUGUGGAAAGGUCGUCACUCAACGGAUAAAAGUUACUCUAGGGAUAAC